rnacentral:tRNA from 1 species
GGUCUAUUCGUUCAACGGUUAGGAUGUGGCACUGUCUAUGCCAAGACGAGGGUUCGAUUCCCUCAUAGACCG